UGAUAGGUGUCUUUGUUCAAAAAUUACAGAUUUAUUAUUAUUAUUAUUAUUUUUGUGCAUUCUAGAUCCCCCACCUCUGCCAUCUGGCAUCUCAAUCAUCCAAACAGACAAUCCUCCCUCCUAUAAUGAUGUGAUUAAAAUGGACAGAGAAGCACAGAAAGUCAAAGCAUCCAACAGCAAAGAAGCAGAGGCUCCAGAAGAAAGAGGAAUGAGAAGAAACUCCACAAAAAUUGACCUGGAUGUGGAACAAGGAGGACAGUGGGCAUUAAAAAUGUAAAUGGAGGAUCUUGGAUGAGAUUAAUGACUGUCCAACAACAUUCAAUCAAGAUGGAUUAUGUUUUUAUUCCUGGGUUAUUAGAUGUGAUAGUGGUGAAAAUAUUUGCUGGUCUUUAUUUAUCACUUAGCCUAGGUCAGUGACAAAUACAUGUUAGAGAAAAAAUUCUUGUUCAAGUACCUGUUUUGUAAUCUUUCAUUUUACAAGUAAAAGUCACUUACAAGUAUCCUAGAGUUAUAAGUGAUCACCUCUCAGAAGUUUAUCAUUGCCUUAUCAUUUGUAAAUGUUUGUAACAUUAAUCAGGUACUCAUACUGCUAUGAUACUAGUUUCGUAUUUGCAUUAUGUUGGAUGUCGGUUAGAUUAUUGAAAAAACAUAUAUUCAGCUGCACUUUAUAGUAGGUAGUCAAGUAGUUUUUCAAGUUAUGAAUGGUCUUUUACCUCCCUUUCAUCCUUUUUCACCUACUUCUUUUUCUUCUUGAUCAAGCCUGACAGCUAUCAGUGUCACUGGGUGCUAAAUAGCCACAAUGUGUGGACAUAUUCAUAGCAUUUGGUAUCUUUGUAACCCAGUUGCAAUGGGAGCCCCCUGUGCCAUAUAAAAUAUUGCUUCUGGAGUCUGUCGAGUCUGCUGCUUGAGGGAAAAAUCAGAAGCACAGGAAAGAAAAUUACCCUGUUCUCAAUGCUUUUGGUUGCAGCAUUAACAUUUUUUUAGGUAUUGAGGCUAAAAUGAGGCUUUAAGGUUUUAAGCCUUCUUUUGGGGGGCUAUUACUCCUCAACAAAUGCAGCCAGGGCCAAACAAGCCCACAACUGUUUAGCAUGCAGUUUAGAGCAGGCUGUCUGUGCAUGAUGCAAAGAUGUCAUCCCAGCAUGAGAGAUGGUCUACCAAGACAUGACAGGAAGUCAUCCUGGUGUGAAUGAGUUAACCAGCAGUAUGUUUAUACCACAUAUAUACAGUUUUUCUCUUCAAUGACGGUGGCUUCAUAAAUCUAUGUACAUAUGAAGGAUAUACUCUUGCAUGUUCCACAGAAAAUGUUCUGGGAUAUUUUUAACAUAUGUGUGCCACACAUUAUAAACAAGUAUUCCCUCUCAGUAACCAUGACUUCAUAAGAUAAUCUAAAGCUGAAGAGCUGAAAUCGAACCUUAUGUAUACAUGACAUCAUCUCCAUACCUGAUACCUACAUGUGAGAUCCCAGCAGCAUACAAAACAAAAAACACAGGCUGAACAAUUAAAACUUGACAUACUGCCAUACUAAACUGACACAUAAUCAUAUCAUGUAAGUAGUAGUAGUAGUAGUAUGUGUGUGUGUGUGUGUGUGUGUGUGUGUGUGUGUGUGUGUGUGUGUGUGUGUGUGUGUGUGUGUGUGUGUGUGUGUGUAUGUGUGAGAGAGAGAGAGAGAGAGAGAGAGAGUAUUAUCACCACUUCCAAAGUGUUGCCUCUGUAGUUCCAUUUUUUAUAUUGUUCAUAUUGUAAAGUGAACACUUGGUCGUAAUUACCCAUUCAAUAUGAAUGUAAAGGUAGGUCACACAAAAAUUCUCAUUCAACCUUUCAAAAACAUUGGUAACUUAUUCCUUCCAGGUCACUCUCAGGUUCUAAGACAAACCAAGAGAAUGUUACAAUAUCAUUCUAAAUUAGCUGAAGUACCUGUUGAUACUAACAACACCAAGCCAUUGGCAGUAGGUUCAUAGGCUUUAGCAAAAGAACUUUUUCAGAUUUUUGGUAGAUAUUUGUAAAGGCUUUUUGUGAGCAGUCUUUUUGAAAACAUUUUCUGUAGAAUGACAAGAAGUUUUUGUUAGAUACAUAUCAAUUUAAUAUUUAUCUUUCUUUCAAUUCCUGUAUUUCAAGAACAAAGAUGCUUUGUUAUAGUGCCUUUCAACUUUUAGGUUAUAAGAUUUAAAAAUCUAGUCCUGUCAUUUACUUUUGUAAUUGUUCCAAGAACCAAUGAUAUAAUUAUAUUACUUCACUGUAUAUUUAGGUAUACAUACGCACUGUAAGGAUUCAAGGUUCGUAGUCUUGUGAGUUAAGUGUUAAUAAGGUGCUAAAGCACUGUUUUUCUGCUAUGGGAAUUUUGCUCCAUUCAGCCUUUUAGUUACAGGUUUCUGUAAUUGUAAAUGGCAACUUAAUAUUUAAGUAAUAUUAAAUUAAUAUUUAAUAUUCAAAUAAAAGAUGCAAAGAGAAAUGUAGGUCUUCAGAAGAAUUCUCAUGCAAUUUGUGCAUAUGACACAUUAGUAAAGUGCAUUUUUUUAUUAUAAUCUGAUGGGACAGUUUGUAAAGUUACUGAUACCUAUUUUUCCUAUGUAUUGUGACUCAACUGUGAUUGUUUCAGUGUGCCUGAUGUAACGCAAAAGACAGAUCAGUGACAUUUUUUUUACAAAGUGUAUUCACGCUAUUAGUUACUAUAAUCUUACUAGUAAAUUAUUUGAAAAGUAUGAUAGUCAUAUAAGCUAGUCAUUAGUGUUAAGGCUUGUAAUAGUGUUUUAUUAAAUGUAAACUGUAGCAA
rnacentral:lncRNA from 1 species